rnacentral:rRNA from 1 species
AGUGAACGCUGGCGGCGUGCCUAAUACAUGCAAGUCGAACGGAGUGGCGCACGGGUGAGUAAUAUAUAGCUAAUCUGCCCCUUGCUGUAGGAUAACAGUUAGAAAUGACUUCUAAUACCCCAUAGCAAGGGAUGAGACUAUAUCGUAUCAGCUCGUCGGUGGGGUAACGGCCUACCGAGGCUAUGACGCGUAACUGGUCUGAGAGGAUGAUGAGUCACAUUGGAACUGAGACACGGGAGAAACUACUACGGGAGGCAGCAGUAGGGAAUAUUGCGCAAUGGGGGGAAGCCUGACGGAGCAACGCGGCGUGGAGGAUGACACUUUUCGGAGCGUAAAAUCAUUUUGUUAGGGAAGCGGUACCUAACGAAUAAGCACCGGCUAACUCCGUGCCAGCAGCCGCGGUAAUAC